UUAGAUUUUAUUUAUUAAUUUUAUUUAUUUAAAUUUAAAGUAUUAAAAAUAAUUAUGUAGUAAAAAGUUUUAGUAUUGUUUAAAGAAAAAAUAAAUUUAAUAAUAGUUUAAUAGUAUUGUAAAAGAAAAUUGAAAUAUUUUGAAAAAUUUUUAUUAAAAAAGAAAAUUUAAUUUAUUGUACCUUGUGUAUCAGCGUUUAUUAAAUAAAAAAUAUAUAGUAUAUUUUUCUCGAUUUUAAAAGAGUUAAUAUGAUAUGAAAGUUAAUGUAAUAAAAUUAUUUUAAAUAUUGUAUUAGAAAUGAAAUGUUAUUCGUUUUUAAAGGUAUCUAGUUUUUCAAGAAAUGAAUUGAAUUCAGAAAUUGUAAAUUUAUUUAUUUUUUUAAAAAAUUAAAUAAUUUACAAUUUUAAUAUUUUAUGGGAUAAGCUAUAAAAUAAAUUUUUAAAAAUAAUAAAUAAAAUUAAUAAAUAUAUGCUUAGAAUUAGCAAUUAUUUAUAAUUAUGUUAUAAUUUAUUUUAUAAAGAUAAUUAUUUAUUAAAUUUUAAAUAUUUAUUGAAAUAUUAAUUUUAAUUUUUUUAAUUAAUUAAUAAUGAUAGAAUUAGUAUAUUGUAUUGUAAAAAUAAAUUUAAAUGAAAAGUUUAUGUAAAG
rnacentral:rRNA from 1 species